rnacentral:rRNA from 1 species
GGAGUUAGCCGGUGCUUCUUCUGUGAGUGAUGUCCUUCCUGCCGGCUAUUAACCCGCAGGCCUUCUUCCUCACUGAAAGUGCUUUACAACCCGAAGGCCUUCUUCACACACGCGGCAUGGCUGGAUCAGGGUUGCCCCCAUUGUCCAAUAUUCCCCACUGCUGCCUCCCGUAGGAGUCUGGGCCGUGUCUCAGUCCCAGUGUGGCUGAUCAUCCUCUCAGACCAGCUACGGAUCGUCGCCUUGGUGAGCCGUUACCUCACCAACCAGCUAAUCCGACAUAGGCUCAUCCGAUAGCGCGAGGCCCGAAGGUCCCCCGCUUUCCCCCGUAGGGCGUAUGCGGUAUUAGCCUGGGUUUCCCCAGGUUAUCCCCCACUACCGGGCAGAUUCCUAUGAAUUACUCACCCGUCCGCCGCUCGCCACCAGGGAGCAAGCUCCCCGUGCUGCCGCUCGACUUGCAUGUGUUAGGCCUGCCGCCAGCGUUCAAUCUGAGCCAGAAUCAAACUCUGA